AAGAUUUUAAGUUAAAUUAAACUAUUAACCUUCAAAGUUAAAAAUAUUUUCUUUUUAAAUCUUA
rnacentral:tRNA from 1 species